AUAUCAAUAAGCGGAGGAAAGGAAACCAACAGGGAUUGCCCUAGUAACGGCGAGUGAAGCGGCAACAGCUCAAAUUUGAAAUCUGGCCCCCUGUGGGGUCCGAGUUGUAAUUUGUAGAGGGUGUUUCGGGCGCGGUCCCCAGCCUAAGUUCCUUGGAACGGGACGUCAUAGAGGGUGAGAACCCCGUAUGCGGCUGGUGUGCCGUGCCAUGUGAAACCCCUUCGACGAGUCGAGUUGUUUGGGAAUGCAGCUCUAAAUGGGAGGUAUAUUUCUUCUAAAGCUAAAUACUGGCCAGAGGCCGAUAGCGCACAAGUA
rnacentral:rRNA from 1 species